rnacentral:rRNA from 1 species
AGUCUGCAACUCGACUACAUGAAGCUGGAAUCGCUAGUAAUCGCGGAUCAGAAUGCCGCGGUGAAUACGUUCCCGGGUCUUGUACACACCGCCCGUCACACCAUGGGAGUCGAUAACGCCCGAAGUCAGUGACCCAACCUGUAAGGAGGGAGCUGCCGAAGGCGGGAUUGAUAACUGGGGUGAAGUCGUAACAAGGUACC